AUGGUGGUGUUUCUCGUCGUCAUUCUCAGAUUCGAAGACCGAAGAAGAUUUUCUCUCAAUCUUGCUCCAUUCUCUUCAAGAUUCAUGGCUCUAGUUCGAGACCAUCCUCUCAUAAUCGUUUUUCGAUUGUCAAAAUUCUUUUCACCUAUCCGGAGCAAUUCAAGAUUCUUUUCAGUUUGUUUCUCCAGAGCUCAUCAUCUCGUUUGUCUAAGAUCAUGUUCUUUUCAUGAUUGCCCAUUUAACCGGAGUGUCGUGCCCUCUUUUCAAGUUCUAUCUCCUUAUCAAGUUCUUAUUCAAUUAUUUUCAUUUCAACCGGAGUGCCGCCCGAAUUUGGUCUUCCUUGAUCCCCUUCUUUAA
rnacentral:rRNA from 1 species